rnacentral:rRNA from 1 species
UACGGGGGAUGCAAGCGUUAUCCGAAAUUAUUGGGCGUAAAGCGCCUGUAGGUCGUUUAAUAAGUCCGUCGUUAAAGAUUAGGGCUCAACCCUAUAAAAGCGAUGGAAACUACUAAACUUGAGUAUGAUAGAGGUAAAGGGAAUUUCUAGUGUAGCGGUGAAAUGCGUAGAUAUUAGAAAGAACACCGGUGGCGAAAGCGCUUUACUGGGUCAUUACUGACACUCAGAGGCGAAAGCUGGGGUAGCAAAAGGG